UACGUAGGGUGCGAGCGUUGUCCGGAAUUAUUGGGCGUAAAGAGCUCGUAGGCGGUCUGUCGCGUCGAUCGUGAAAACUUGGGGCUUAACCCUGAGCUUGCGGUCGAUACGGGCAUGACUGGAGUUCGGCAGGGGAGACUGGAAUUCCUGGUGUAGCGGUGAAAUGCGUAGAUAUCUGGAGGAACACCGGUGGCGAAGGCGGCAUCCUGGACCGGUAUUGACACUGAGGCGCGAAAGCCAGGGGAGCAAACGGG
rnacentral:rRNA from 1 species